rnacentral:tRNA from 1 species
GGGCAUGUGGCGUAGUUAGGUARCGCGCCCCCUWAGCAUGGGGGAGGUCUUCGGUUCGAAUCCGGACUUGUCCA